rnacentral:rRNA from 1 species
CCUACGGGCGGCAGCAGUGGGGAAUAUUGGACAAUGGGGGGAACCCUGAUCCAGCCAUGCCGCGUGUGUGAAGAAGGCCCUCGGGUUGUAAAGCACUUUCAGUGAGGAAGAACGCCUGGUGGUUAAUACCCAUCAGGAAAGACAUCACUCACAGAAGAAGCACCGGCUAACUCCGUGCCAGCAGCCGCGGUAAUACGGAGGGUGCGAGCGUUAAUCGGAAUUACUGGGCGUAAAGCGCGCGUAGGUGGCUUGAUAAGCCGGUUGUGAAAGCCCCGGGCUCAACCUGGGAACGGCAUCCGGAACUGUCAAGCUAGAGUGCAGGAGAGGAAGGUAGAAUUCCCGGUGUAGCGAUGAAAUGCGUAGAGAUCGGGAGGAAUACCAGUGGCGAAGGCGGCCUUCUGGACUGACACUGACACUGAGGUGCGAAAGCGUGGGUAGCAAACAGGAUUAGAUACCCUGGUAGUC